rnacentral:rRNA from 1 species
AACAAACGCUGGCGGCGUGCCUAACACAUGCAAGUCGUACGAGAAAGUUGGCUUCGGCCAAUGAGUAAAGUGGCGCACGGGUGAGUAACGCGUGGAUAAUCUGCCCUUCAGCGGGGAAUAACCCAUCGAAAGGUGGGCUAAUACCCCAUAACACUGUUUUACAACUGUCAAACAGUCAAAGAGAGCCUCUGCUUGCAAGCUUUUACUGAAGGUUGAGUCCGCGUACCAUUAGCUAGUUGGUAGGGUAAUGGCCUACCAAGGCGACGAUGGUUAGCUGGUCUGAGAGGAUGAUCAGCCACACUGGAACUGAGACACGGUCCAGACUCCUACGGGAGGCAGCAGUGAGGAAUCUUGCGCAAUGGGGGAAACCCUGACGCAGCAACGCCGCGUGAGUGAGGAAGGUCUUCGGGUCGUAAAGCUCUGUCAGGCGGGAAGAAAUGCAUGGAGGUGAACAGCCGCCAUGCUUGACGGUACCGCCAGAGGAAGCACCGGCUAACUCCGUGCCAGCCGCCGCAGUAACAC